AACCAAAACAGAUAUAUUAAUUAUUAUUUAAUAGUUGAACUAAUAGUAUAAUGACAACUGUCCAAAUUGGAUGAGAAUAGUUUCUCAAAGUUUAUCUUCCGAGAAACUCAACUCUCCUUCUCUCCUACUUUUUCUCCUUUCUCUCAUACUUUUUCUUUUGUAAUUAUUAUUACUUUUGUUGGGUAUCUCAUUGAGAUACUUCCAAUGGAGAUGCUCUUAGUUUCUUUCUUUUUUAGAAGAUGAUUUGUAUUAUUUAAGAUAUAAUUUCACCAAAAGUGCGCCUUUUACAAUGUCUUCGUCUUCAAUUAAAUUAUAUAUU
rnacentral:sRNA from 1 species